rnacentral:rRNA from 1 species
UGGGGAAUAUUGCACAAUGGACGGAAGUCUGAUGCAGCGACGCCGCGUGGGGGAUGAAGGCUUUCGGGUUGUAAACUCCUUUCAGUACAGAAGAAGCUUUAUUGUGACGGUAUGUGCAGAAGAAGCGCCGGCUAACUACGUGCCAGCAGCCGCGGUAAUACGUAGGGCGCGAGCGUUGUCCGGAAUUAUUGGGCGUAAAGAGCUCGUAGGCGGUUUGUCGCGUCUGCUGUGAAAGACCGGGGCUUAACUCCGGGGCUGCAGUGGGUACGGGCAGGCUGGAGUGCGGUAGGGGUAACCGGAAUUCCUGGUGUAGCGGUGGAAUGCGCAGAUAUCAGGAGGAACACCGAUGGCGAAGGCAGGUUACUGGGCCGUUACUGACGCUGAGGAGCGAGAGCAUGGGGAGCGAACAGG